rnacentral:rRNA from 1 species
GUCUUUUUGAUAAUAAUAUUAAGUCUAAUCUGCUCCAUGAUUUUUAAAUUAAAUAGCUGCGGUAUAUUAACCGUACAAAGGUAGCAUAAUCAAUAGUUUUUUAAUUAAAAACUUGUAUGAAUGAUUCAAUGAAAUAAAUAUUGUCUCAAAUUUAUUAAUUUUAAAAUUUUUUUUUUAGUAAAAAUACUAAAAUGAUUUUAAUAGACGAGAAGACCCUAUAGAUUUUAAUAAUUAUAAUUAAAAUUUAAUUUUAAAAUAUAAUUAUUUAGUUGGGGAAAUUAUUAAAUUUAAUUAAUUUUAAUAUAUUAAAACCAAUAAUUAUUGAUUUUUUGAUCUUAAAUUUUAGAUUAAAAGAAUUAAAUACCUUAGGGAUAACAGCGUAAUUUUUUUAGAAAGAUCAUAUUAAUAAAAAAGUUUGCGACCUCGAUGUUGAAUUAAGAUUUAAUUUUAAUGAAGAAAUUAAAAAUUUUUAGUCUGUUCGACUAUUAAAAUCUUACGUGAUCUGA